CGCGCAGGCGGAUGGUUGCGUCCGGAGUGAAAUUUCGCCGCUCAACGGCGAAGCUGCUUUGGAUACGGACCGUCUAGGGACCGGUAGAGGCUGGUAGAAUUGCAGGUGUAGCGGUGGAAUGCGUAGAGAUCUGCAAGAAUACCCGUGGCGAAGGCGGCCAGCUGGGCCGGAUCCGACGCUGAGGCGCGAAAGCGUGGGGAGCAAACAGGAUUAGAUACCCUGGUAGUCCACGCCGUAAACGAUGGGCACUAGGUGCCGGGGGGAGCGACCCCCUCGGUGCCGCAGCUAACGCGAUAAGUGCCCCGCCUGGGGAGUACGGCCGCAAGGCUGAA
rnacentral:rRNA from 1 species